rnacentral:rRNA from 1 species
GCCUAUGGCUGUGCUACCGUGAACAAGCCCGAUCCCAUCUGAUCUCGAAAGCUAAGCAGGGUCAGGCCUGGUUAGUACUUCGAUGAGAGACCACCUAGGAAGACCAGGUGCUGUAGUCA